AACUUUCAACAACGGAUCUCUUGGCUCUGGCAUCGAUGAAGAACGCAGCGAAAUGCGAUAAGUAAUGUGAAUUGCAGAAUUCAGUGAAUCAUCGAAUCUUUGAACGCACAUUGCGCCCGCCAGCACUCUGGCGGGCAUGCCUGUUCGAGCGUCAUU
rnacentral:rRNA from 1 species